GGAAUAAAGCCGCACUAAAGCACACAGCAACUGGAUCAAUAAUAGAGGCAGAAAACCACACCAUCACAUCACCCUUGGAUAUGGAUAUCAAAACAGAUAAAGAACAUAAGCCUGAUGCAACUGGGAUUCAGGAGGAAAGGAUGAGAUUAGAUAAACCGAAGCCUUGUCCCACCAAGACUCAGAGUCCUCCAGUUUCCUUCAUAGCUUCAUCCAACCACAACCCUCUGCAUGAUCCUACUCCGUUCUUCUCUCUCGUCUCAACAUCCAGUCAUGUUCCACCCACAUCUCACAACACAACAGCCAGUCACACACACACUAUUCACCACAAACAAGCCUACCGUCGUUCCAUGAAGAGUCCCUCGUCCUCUGGAUUACGGAGCUCCUCUUACUGUUCUGCAUGCAGUAUGAGAUC